CACGUAGGCACCAAGCGUUGUCCGGAUUUAUUGGGCGUAAAGAGCUCGUAGGCGGUUCAGUAAGUCGGGUGUGAAAACUCUGGGCUCAACCCGGAGACGCCACCCGAUACUGCUGUGACUUGAGUUCGGUAGGGGAGUGGGGAAUUUCUAGUGUAGCGGUGAAAUGCGCAGAUAUUAGAAGGAACACCGGUGGCGAAGGCGCCACUCUGGGCCGAAACUGACGCUGAGGAGCGAAAGCGUGGGGAGCGAACAGG
rnacentral:rRNA from 1 species